AAGGUGCACGGCCGCAUCGCCGUCUGCGGCCUCAUCUCGCAGUACAACCUCGCCGCCGGCGAGAAGGACGCGGAGGAGCUCAGAGCGCGCAACCUGGUGUACCUCAUUUCCAAGCGGAUCCGGAUGCAGGGGUUCGUCGAGCCCGACCACAAGCACCUCUACCCGGAGUACAGGGCGUGGGUGCUGCCGCACAUCAAGGACGGCAAGGUGGUGUACGUGGAAGACGUCGUGGAGGGGCUCGACGCGGCGCCCGCAGCGCUCAUCGGACUCUUCCACGGCCGCAACGUCGGCAAGCAGGUCGUCAGGCUCGCCAACCCUCAGUGACUGACAGAUCGCACGCAAGUGUCAUUCCUAGGGACAACGGGCAAAGCCAAAUAAAAAGCUACUAGUAGAUCCAUGCGCAUGGCGCUGGGAAGCUAUCAUGAGAAAUAAAUUCCAGUCCUUGCUUACUAUUGCCCUUCAUUAAUCAUCGUUUACCUGCUUUUAAUUAUUUGUUUUUUUAAUGAUUUGAAGAUUGUUUAUCACACCUGCCACGCGGUUCAAAACUGUUAUUUGUUUCGAUGUUUCCCAUGAGUUCAAAUCUCAACAAAUCAAAAGUACCUGAAUUUUCACCCCCAUUUUUUUCAUUAUAUUCACAAUACCAAAUGAAAAUCAUUAUAUUCAACAUAAAAUAUAUUAUCAUUUGUAUUUAUUUGGAAUUUGUAUAUGUUGAUAAUUUUUAUAAAUUUGAUCAAACUUUACUAAGUUUGACUUAAGAGAAACCUAAUAUACCGAGUAAAAAGAAAUGGAGGAAGAAAUAUGCUUCACUUUUAGCACGCACAUGUAAAACCACAAGCUUGACAGACCUAACGAAGUAGAACACGCUUUUGUUAGUACAGUGUUGUUUUCUUCUUCUUUUUGCAGGAACUGUUGUUUUCUUCAAUAGCAACGCAUAGAGUAUUAUGUACUAGAUUUUUUGCCCGGAAAAACUUUCGUCCUAUUCAUCAUCAAUCAUGGCAGUACAACGAACAUCGAAAAUUAUAAAAAAUUACAUCCAGAUCCGUAGGUCACCUAGCAACAAUUACAAGCACUGAAGCGGAGACGCGUCGCCGUCAUCACCCCUUUUUAGUUGGAGCCGGACAAAACUUGUUACAGUAGACAGUCAAAAAGUCGUCGUGCUAAGUCUCCAUAGGACCAGCACCAGAACAUUAAGCACCGCCGAUGAAAAGAAGCGUAGAUUAGAAGUAUCCGACCUGAAGACACGCGGUCGUAGAUGAACGAACACCGGAUCGGAUCCAUCAAAGACAACCAACGACCGAGUUCCGCGAGAUCCGCCGAAGACACACCUCCACACAACCUGACAAUGGUAGACACACCAACAAGGCGAGUGGCUAGGCGGGAAGAACUUUAUUCCAUCAUGUGGAAGCCGCCACCCGCCGGCAUUAUAACUUUGGUUUAAUCUGUCGAAAUGCCUGUGAGUAUGGUCUUAGUGUAUAUUUGACCGGAUUAUUUUAACUUAUGUUGUUCCUAUGCUUCACGAGACUGCAACUGAUAUGUUGGAUGCGAGACUGCAACUGACAUGCUACAUGCUGAAUGGGGAAUAACCAAAUUUGUGGACAAAGAGCUACAACCAAGAACAAAGAGUUCAUCACAAGGGGGUGGUGUUUUAUUAGGAUAUAUACACAAAAGAGGAAACUUUCUUUUGUACAGAACCAAAUUAUAUAAUGUAAUUGACCACUGUUUCUAAGAUCUUCUCCUGUACUCAAUGUUCAUCAUGUACUAAGUACAUUUUAUUGUGUCACUUAUUUUUGAGGGGUGGCUUUGUUCAUCAAACACCACAAAGUGUGGGAUAGAGUUCAUCAAACUAGGCUUUAUCGUGUCACCUAUGUUUACCUUCUUUUUUUACUGUGUCACCUAUGUUUACCUUCUUUUUUUUAACAUAAGCUAUGUGGACUUUCUAAUUGCGAGCUCAAUUAUUUGACCCAUCGUGUUGUAAUUUGUUGCAUAAUUACAUUAAGCACUAUUUUCAUUUAAUUCUUUGUUUGAAAAAUUUAAAAACUUAUGCCUCAAUGUUCCUGAAUAACAUAACAAAUGAUGCACGCUCAAGUGUAUAUUUUUAAGACAAGUCUAUUUUUUUAUAAAAAUAUUUACAAUUUGUAUCAUAUGUGAUUGCUCAAACCUAUAGUUAUUAAGAAAUGCAAAUAGUUACAAUAUUGCUCAAACAACUGGAGAUGAAGCAGAUCGGCAUUGGCGUCAGCGGGAGGCAGAAACACUAGCCGAGAGCAUAGGGAGUAAAUAGCAUAAAACUACUACUUUACAGGUUAGGGUUCCAAAAAACUACCAGUUUUCAUUUUUCGCUGAUAACUACCAAGUCAGGGGUUGGCUGUUUCAAAAACCCCUAAACACUCGUUUCUAGCGAUUUAAACCGUUUUAUGACAGGUCGGGCCCACUCCUGAACAAUCCGUUUGUUUGACCGUUUUAUUUGGCCGUUAACUUACAUGUGGGAUCCAAGUGUAAGUUGCCUCUUCUUCCUCUUAUCUUCUCUUCACUCCUCCCGUCUCUUUCUUCUUCCUCUCCCUCUCCCGACAACCACCACCCACUGACGGCCACCUCCACCGUCCGUAGUGCGCCAAGACAAACUCGACCGCAGGAACGAACGCUGCGCGGAGGAGCAAGCACGGGCCGCACCUUGGCCAAGGGCUUAGGCCAUCGCGAGCCGCGCGCCAUGGCCGGAGCGCGCCAAGGAGCAAGGGCCGCCGCCAGCCGCGCAUGGUCACGUGCUCGGUCCGUCCGCGAGCCGCGCGCCAUGGCCAGGAACGCGCGAGGAGCAAGGGCCGCCACCAGCCGCACCAUGGCCAAGGGCUCUGGCCGCCUCCAGCCGCACGCAAUGGCCCAGGAGCAGCGGCUGCUGUCGGCAAGGAGCUCCUCCACCUAGCCCGUCGCCCGACUAGAGAAUCCCGACUUCGCGACGAGGAACACGGCGCCUGCGCCGCCUCCUUUCGCCUGGCCGCGACCGUGCCGCCGGCGAGCUGCCGGCGCCGUUCCUGAGAGAGCAAUCAGGGACCCGAUUGCUUUCUUUAGAAAAUAGUCAGGGACCCGAUUGCUUUUUUUAAAAUGUUACAGGGACCUGAUUGCUUUUUAAAAAAACUUACAAAGAAACUGACAUAUGGGCCCUACAUGUAAGGUAACAGUCAAAGAAACGGUCAAACAAACGGCUCUCUUACGUGCGGGUCCCAACUGUUAUAAUCACAAUUAAUUUUAAAGCACUUUGUGAUUAGGGUUUUCUGAAACAGUCAACCCUUGACUUGGUACUUAUCAACGAAAAAUUAAAAAUCCAUAGUUUUUUAAAGCCCUAGCCUGUAAAGUAGUAGUUUUAUGCUAUUUACUCGAGCAUAGGGAUGUAUUAUAAAACCAUAACUGGGUAGAACGCUCGACUCACUAGGCGAGGCAUUGUACUAUGACAUGUAUUCAUGGGAUCGGUACAGGAUAUGGGAAUAGCAGACUGAACGGAGAGAAGACGGAAGUGUAUGCAAGGACUGUUUGUGGAUGCAUGGUAAUACAGGAGGCCUGCAUUUUGCAGUUGAUCAAUUAAUCAUGUAAAAAUAAAGUAAAAUACCCUCUUCAAUUCUGUGUAGCAAUUUCUGGCUCUUCAUGUGCAGUCCACUGAAUUUGUGUGGACAUGCUUCUUCCAAUCUCCUGAACAAAUCAGUCCUGCUAGUUUUACUCAUAUGCACAAGGAAAAUAUGAAGCGAGAGGUAACUAACUAGGUGGUCCCCUCGCGCGCAAGAUGAAACGAACCGGUAGUUUUUUUUUUAAAAAAGUAGGAUGCACCCACGGCCUCUGCAUCUGGGUAAUGCAUGCGGCUAUUUUAUUUAUUAUUCAUAAAGACCUUACAAAGUAAUACAUCAGGAAGUCCGAAGCCACCGUCUAGACGACACGUAUCGCUACUCCUAUCCUCUUGACGAAGGAGUGCCGAUUGCUUGGGCCAAAUACCAAAUAGACAUCGCACCAAAGCCUAACAUCUAAAACAGGAUGCCCCAUCCAAGCCACAUAGGCGAGACUGGGUAACACUCCGGUCCGGCGCACUUUUAGUGAGUACCACACGCACACGCUGCAAGGACCGUCACCUCCGUCUUCCAUCAGUCCAUCUUCAAAGCAGAUACUGACACAUCGACCUUGUCAGGCCUCUCUGUCAUCGACACCAUCAUGACACUAGACAACGUCGUCCUCUUGCGCGUGUCCAUCGCCACACAUCUGACACCGAGUCUCCACUGCUCUACGCCGCCGAGAACCGCACCAUGAAUAUGUAGAAAGAAACACCGCUCCACUGAAGAAGCCAUUCGCUGGUCCCUUGAGCCAGAGUGUACCUCCAAGAAUGCCGCCCCCAAGGGGGUAACGACACAUGAUUGCGGCCGUCAUCUGAUCAACUGAUCUAGGGUUUCCCCCAGAGGUAUUGGAUGGGGUUGGGAGCUUCACCUCGAUGAUGUCUUCAUGAAGGUAAUGAUGAUAAGGGCAUCGUCAUCACCGGCUCCGGCGACCGACUGAAGACCGGGUUUUCACCCGGAUCCGUCCCAAGAAAUCCACCCGACAACCUGUGCACUGUCUUGACCGCCUUCAAAGUCCCAGAUCUAGCCGCCUAGAUCCAGCGACCAACCGCAACGGCAGUGCCACCGUAGGAGCCCUGGCGCACCGGCCACUGCCUGAGUGUGCCACCACUGGAGCUUGGGAGGAGGGCUCCCGCCCCACCUCGCCAAACUGCAAGAGCCGCCGAGAUGGAUCCCGCGCACUCGUCACCGUCUCUGAUCUGAACCAAUCCCUAGCAAAAACCACUAAAUCGCCGAUGCAGAUUCGCCUUGGACAGGGACUGCACCACGCCAUGCCACCGUGGAAAGCCCGAGCUUCACCCGCCGCCACCUUCCAGGACCGCCGCCCGGGAUCCAGACAGAACAUCGCUGCUGCCACCGGUCAUGUUCCGUCGCCGCCGACAAGCCGAGCCGCCGGCCACCGCGAUCAAGGCCGCCAUGACCCUGCGAGCCCACCGAGCGCCCGACGCCACCAAAUCUUCCGCGAAGCCCAGCAGCUCCGCCGCCUCCACCCAGCACCACGCCGCCACCUUGCAUUGUCACCAGAAGCGAACAACCGCGGCGCUACGACGUAGAUCGAGGAGGAAACGCCCCGACGCCCGAUCCGACGGCGGGAAGGAAGAGGGCCUCCGCCGCCGCCAUCAGCCGCCCGGGGCUUCGCCUAGCGACAUCCUCCCGCAGCAGCGGAGGGAGGAUGCGUAUGGAUGUGCCCGGCGGCGGGGGUUUUCACCCGAGCCGCCCUAGCAGGGGGCGAACCGGGGGCGGAUCUGGCAAAGGAACCGGUAGUUGGGUAGGGUGUGUGUGCUUUGGAGGGAUUAGUCACUUUAGCAUGUGCGUGUUGUGCCAAUCAGACACUUUGACGCAAAAACCAAUACGCAAUUUCACUCUGGGCCGCGGCCGCCUGCCGCUUCAAUUAUCUAUCGACACUGCCGCGUCGCCCUCGGGUAAGAUGGUGGUGGUGAGGUCACUGUCGCCGAUCUCGCAGCAACGAGAGGCUGGAAGUCGAUCUUUCUAUAUGCGUCGUGCGCUGCAGGCCAGCCAAAUUUAUUGGCACGCGAACGGGAAAAGGAACUGUUAAAAUAUCUGUAAAUACCAUGCAGAGUGCAGCUUCAAUUAUUGGCACGUGACGCCCGUGGGGAAGCGACGGACCGACCGGAACAAAUGGGCGGACCAGCACCGCCCACCGCAGCGCCCUGGAGCUGGACCACCACGCGCCAUCAUCGCCCUCGCCAUCCAUCCAUCCCAUCCAUCAUCCCCGGCAGGCAUCAUAUUAAUAUAUCCACUCCAAGCAAAAUAAAAUAAUAUCCAAAGCAAGCCUCUAUUCGCUCCAGAUCGUAGUCUUGCAGUCCACCCACGGCGGCGAUGGCGGAGCUCAAGAGCCGGCGGGUGAUCCUCAAGGACUACGUGGAGGGCUACCCCACGGAGGCGCACAUGGAAGUGCUCCCCGCCGCGGCCGUCGACGAGGCCGCGGCCGCGGAGGAGGGGUCGGUGCUGGUCAAGAACCUGUACCUCUCCUGCGACCCCUACAUGCGCCCCAAGAUGUCCCGCCCGCUGCACCAGUCCUACACCGCCGCCUUCGUCCCGGGCGCCGCCAUCACCGGCUACGGCGUGUCCGAGGUGGUCCGCUCCUCGCGGCCCGGGCUCGCCGCCGGCGACCUCGUCUGGGGCAUGACAGGCUGGGAGGACUACAGCAUCAUCAAGCCGCCAUUCACGGCUAUACUCACCAAGAUCCAGCCCGACGACGGCGUGCCGCUGUCCUACUACACGGGCAUCCUGGGCAUGCCGGGGCUCACGGCCUACGUCGGCUUCCACCACAUCUGCUCCCCCAAGGCGGGGGAGACGGUGUACGUCUCCGCAGCCUCCGGCGCCGUCGGGCAGCUGGUGGGCCAGUUCGCCAGGCUCCUGGGCUGCCACGUCGUCGGCAGCGCCGGGUCCAAGGAGAAGGUGGACCUGCUCAUCAACAAGUUCGGCUUCCACGACGCCUUCAACUACAAGGAGGAGGGCGGCGACCUCGCCGGCGCGCUCAAGAAGCGCUUCCCCGACGGCAUCGACGUCUACUUCGAGAACGUCGGCGGCAAGAUGCUCGAGGCCGUGCUGCUCAACAUGAAGGUGCACGGCCGCAUCGCCGUCUGCGGCCUCAUCUCGCAGUACAACCUCACCGCCGGCGAGAAGGAGGCCGACGUCGGCGUGCGCAACCUCACCUCCCUCGUCUCCAAGCGCAUCCGCAUGCAGGGCUUCAUCGAGCCCGACCACAAGCACCUCUACCCCGAGUACAUGGCGUGGGUGCUCCCGCACAUCAAGGAGGGCAGGGUCGUCUACGUGGAGGACGUCGCCGACGGGCUCGACGCCGCGCCCGCAGCGCUCAUCGGCCUCUACCACGGCCGCAACGUCGGCAAGCAGGUCGUCAGGCUCACCGCACCCGAGUGACUCACACACUGUACUGUAGUAGCAGAUCAACCGCGCGUCAACCAUCAAGAAUAAAACAAAAUCUAUUCCCAUCGCAAUCGCAAUCGCAUCUUUUUUCAGAGGAAUAUAAGACUGUUUAUUAUUGUCACAUAAUUGACAUAUCGUUUAUAUACAAUUGAGAAACAAAAUAGCGAUUGAGCUCUCCCAAAAAUCAGAGAUCUAUUGGAAUAAGAAUAGCUAGCUAGAGC
rnacentral:lncRNA from 1 species